rnacentral:rRNA from 1 species
GAUGAACGCUGGCGGUGCGCCUAAUACAUGCAAGUCGAACGUGAUCACGGAAAAGUUUACUUUUUUGUGUGAAAGUGGCGGACGAGUGAGUAACACGUAAGAAUCUACCCCGUACUCAGGGACAACCUUUCGAAAGGAAGGCUAAUACCGGAUGGUCUCGAAAGAGUAAAGCUUUAGCGGUACGGGAGGAGCUUGCGGCCUAUCAGCUUGUUGGUAAGGUAAUUGCUUACCAAGGCUAUGACGGGUAGCUGGUCUGAGAGGAUGAUCAGCCACGAUGGGACUGAGACACGGCCCAUACUCCUACGGGAGGCAGCAGUAAGGAAUCUUCCGCAAUGGGCGAAAGCCUGACGGAGCGACACCGCGUGGAGGAUGACGGCCCUAUGGGUUGUAAACUCCUUUUCUGAGGGAAGAAGUUCUGACGGUACCUCAGGAAUAAGCCCCGGCUAAUUACG